rnacentral:rRNA from 1 species
AUUGAACGCUGGCGGCAUGCCUUACACAUGCAAGUCGAACGGCAGCACGGGAGCAAUCCUGGUGGCGAGUGGCGAACGGGUGAGUAAUAUAUCGGAACGUGCCCGGUCGUGGGGGAUAACGUAGCGAAAGCUACGCUAAUACCGCAUACGAUCUACGGAUGAAAGCGGGGGAUCGCAAGACCUCGCGCGAUUGGAGCGGCCGAUAUCAGAUUAGGUAGUUGGUGAGGUAAAGGCUCACCAAGCCGACGAUCUGUAGCUGGUCUGAGAGGAUGAUCAGUCACACUGGAACUGAGACACGGUCCAGACUCCUACGGAGGCAGCAGUGGGGAAUAUUGGACAAUGGGCGAAAGCCUGAUCCAGCCAUGCCGCGUGUGUGAAGAAGUCUUCGGAUUGUAAAGCACUUUAAGUUGGGAGGAAGGGUAGGUAACCU